rnacentral:rRNA from 1 species
CGGAUCAGCAUGCCGCGGUGAAUACGUUCCCGGGCCUUGUACACACCGCCCGUCACACCAUGGGAGCCGGUAAUACCCGAAGUCAGUAGUCCAACCUCGUGAGGACGCUGCCGAAGGUAGGAUUGGCGACUGGGGUGAAGUCGUAACAAGGUACC